CCCCCCCCGGGGCUCUCUUCCACUUCCGGUCGUUGGCGGUUCUGCUCUCGUUACCUGUUUGUUAGUCACGUCCGACUCUCCCGGUGUCUGAAAUGCCGGGCGGCCCCAGGCCUCGAGGGCAUGUUAGGGAGGAGUCACCUUCAUUUUUCGGGGAAGAUGGAAGCUUCAGGGCUCCUUAGGAGUUGGGCAAUAUUGGGCUCUAAUAAUGAUCAUCACGAAAGAAAGCUACGUGGUUGAUGGUAUCGUCUAUUAUAUGAAUCAAACCCUGGUUUUUGAAAUCCUACACUCUGGGACCCACUAAUCUAAGUGACUUUUAGAAGUCCUUCCAACUCUGAAAUUCUAUGAUUUUAUGUAUGUAUUUGGCGUGUCUCUUCCUUUGUUUCAUGCCUGCUGUAGUCACUGUUCCAGCACUGACAGUAUCCAGCAAAAUGUACUAAAAUGCUGUAUGAGAGGUCAUAGCCUUAUUGAAUGUGAUUUCAGUUGAUUGCAUUUUAAGAUUUAAAUUUGUCAGAUUUAAGAAGGGCAAACAUUUUUUGCUUUUUCUUUUAAGACAUAGAAAAUGAAGUUUUUAGGUGUUGGCUAUGACUCAGCCAUCUCCUUAAAAUCAUGUAUCAUCUGUGGUAACUUUCAGCUUCAGCAACUGAAGGAUUACCUGUUUUGGGUGCUGCUAUUUUAGUUACAAAUCAUUCUGUACUUUUGAAUCCACAGCAGCUUUGGGGUAAUAGAAGGAGUCUUCUAAAAUGUGCCAUAAUGCAAUUCCUGACUCCUGGAUCAGAUGAAUUCACUAAAACUAUAAUCAAAAGUAUAGAAUAAAUAGGGGCCGGCCCAGUGGCGCAGCGGUUAAGUUUGCACGUUCUGCUUCAGCGGCCC